rnacentral:rRNA from 1 species
UACGUAGGGUGCGAGCGUUGUCCGGAAUUAUUGGGCGUAAAGAGCUCGUAGGCGGUUUGUCGCGUCGGCCGUGAAAACUUGGGGCUUAACCCCAAGCCUGCGGUCGAUACGGGCAGACUUGAGUUCGGCAGGGGAGAGCUGGAAUCCUGGUGUAGCGGUGAAAUGCGCAGAUAUCAGGAGGAACACCGGUGGCGAAGGCGGGUCUCUGGGCCGAUACUGACGCUGAGGAGCGAAAGCGUGGGGGAGCGAACAGG